rnacentral:sRNA from 1 species
AGGUGUGAGGGUGGCUUCCCUGUGACAUCUUCCCACGUUGGGCCACGGGGCUUACUUUGACUGCUUUGGCAAAUAAAAUGGUAUCCACCUCUUCCCCACUGUUCCAUAGGCACCCUUCCAGAAGCUGCGUGCUCAAUUCCAAGGGAAAGAAUUUCCUAGACAAAAAAUGACCUACCGCCCAUUGAGAGACAUGUUCAAAAGCAGCAAUUAGGGAAGACUGAAAAAUUCACAUGGGGAAAUAGCUGGAAGGUUUUU